CAGCCGCCGCGGGAAUACGGAGGGUGCAAGCGUUAAUCGGAAUUACUGGGCGUAAAGCGCACGCAGGCGGUCUGUCAAGUCAGAUGUGAAAUCCCCGGGCUUAACCUGGGAACUGCAUUUGUGACUGGCGAGCUAGAGUAUGGCAGAGGGGGGUAGAAUUCCACGUGUAGCAGUGAAAUGCGUAGAGAUGUGGAGGAAUACCGAUGGCGAAGGCAGCCCCCUGGGCCAAUACUGACGCUCAUGCACGAAAGCGUGGGGAGCAAACAGGAUUAGAUACCCGUGUAGUCCCUGUCUCUUAUAA
rnacentral:rRNA from 1 species